CUGGAUGAGUUCCUGCUGGAGA
rnacentral:piRNA from 1 species